CCCUUGGAUGUUCUGGGCCGCACGCGUGCUACACUGAGUGGAUCAGCGGGUCAGGUUGCGCGAAAGCGUUUCCUAAUCUUUAAAUCCGCUCGUGAUGGGGAUUGACGGUUGCAAUUUUCUGUCAUGAACGAGGAAUACCUUGUAAGCGCGGGUCAUCAUCCCGCGCUGAAUACGUCCCUGCCCUUUGUACACACCGCCCGUCGCUCCUACCGAUUGAAUGCUCAGGUGAGCCAUUCGGACUUUCAUCAUGCUGGUUUCCAGUUUUGAUGAAGGAAAGUCUUGCGAACCUUAUCAUUUAGAGGAAGGAGAAGUCGUAACA
rnacentral:rRNA from 1 species